UGCCAGCAGCCGCGGUAAUACGAAGGGUGCAAGCGUUGUUCGGAAUUAUUGGGCGUAAAGCGCGCGCAGGCGGAUUAACAAGUCAGAUGUGAAAUCUCGGGGCUCAACUCCGAAACUGCGUCUGAAACUAUUAAUCUAGGAUCUCGGAGGGGGAUGGGGAAUUUCUCAUGUAGAGGUAAAAUCCGUAGAGAUGAGAAGGAACACCUGAGGCGAAGGCGCCACCCUGGACGAGUAUCGACGCCGAGGCGCGAAGGCGUGGGUAGCGAACGGGAUUAGAUA
rnacentral:rRNA from 1 species